rnacentral:lncRNA from 1 species
UAGUGCAUCAAACAUCUUUUUCAUUUUCUGAAUCCAUGUCUCUAUAACCAAAGGGUCAAGUCCAUCCUCAAAUAGUAAUGGGUUAAACCUUCUAAACCUCUCGUAAUAUCACUCUAAAGAUAGUGUAGGUCGAAGAGUAGCUUGUAUUUGCUAUUAUUGUUGAAUUAGCUGAGCCACCACUUGGCAUACUCCAGCAAUAUCUGUUCAAAUGGUUAAUGCAUUAGGAGCCUGCCCAAUCAAUUGGUUGGCAUCUCCUCU